rnacentral:lncRNA from 1 species
GUAGUUAAUAAUACCAUAUUGUGCACAACCAGAAGAACCUACCAGUAGAAUAUACAACUAGGGGAGCUUUGGGGAGAAAAAAGAAGAAAGAACAAGAAGAGGAAGAAAAGGAAGAAGAAAGAAAGAGAGAGGGAGAGGGAGGGAGGGAGGGAGGGAGGGAGGGAGGGAGAGGGAGAGAGAGAAAGAAAGAAAGGAAGGAAAGAAAGGAAGGAAGGAAAGGAAGGAAGGAAGGGAAGAAAGAAAGAGAGAGAAAGAGAAAGAAAGAAAGAAAAGAACAGAAGAUUGGAAACAGAUGAAAAAAGAGAAAAUCUGUUUUAAACCCUUCCAUGACCUCUCUCUCACUUGCUCACUUGCUUGCGCUGGAGGAGGUCUGCCACCAUGUUGUGAGAAGCUCUGUGGAAAGGUCACGUGGUGAGGAACUGAGGCCUCCUGACAACAGCCAUAUGAUGGAACCUUCUUGGAAGCAAAUCCACCAACCCCAGCCAAGCCUUCAGAGACUGCAGCCCCUGCCACCAUCUUGAAUGCAGCCUCAUGAAAGACCCUGAGCCAGAACCACCCAGCUGAGCUGUUCCAGAAUUGGUGACCCUAAGAACCUGUGAAAAAAAACUCCACCAAACAGUCUUUCCAGCUGUGACAAGACAUCUUCUUCUGCUAACAAUGUUUCCUCCAUGUUAUGAAAGCUCGCAAGUGAAGUGUGUUUAUCAUUUAGUGCAAAGGCCAGAGAAGGAAGCGGCCAGCACACAGGUGGGAGAGUGAGCUCCUAGGAGAGAACAGUCUGGACUCUUGGCCAGGAGAAGAUGCCAGCACAAUUUCCCCACUUCCAGAGUUGGUACUGGCUACAAAAAGGUUCUUUACCUGCCACACAAGAGGGGCCAAAUAAAAACUGGAAUGCCAGGUUUAUGACAAGGAAAAGGUUUUCAUUUCAGGUGACAUCAGCUGGGAAACAAGAAUGAGCCCUCAAAUUCGUCUCAUCUCCCUGAAAGAUGGGAAGCAAGGGAUUUUAAAGGUUGCAAGGAAUGUGG